ACGGGUGGGUAACACGUGAGUGACCUGCCUUUUAGACUGGAACAACUUACCGAAAGGUGAGCUAAUGCCGGAUGAGUUAUAUAAGUGCAUGUUUAUAUAGGAAAAGUUGGGGAGACCUGACGCUGAAAGAUGGACUCGCGUCCCAUUAGCUAGUUGGUAGGGUAAUGGCCUACCAAGGCGACGAUGGGUAGCCGGCCUGAGAGGGUGGCCGGCCACACUGGGACUGAGACACGGCCCAGACUCCUACGGGAGGCAGCAG
rnacentral:rRNA from 1 species